GACGAACGCUGGCGGCGUGCCUAAUACAUGCAAGUUGAGCGCUGAAGGUUGGUACUUGUACCGACUGGAUGAGCAGCGAACGGGUGAGUAACGCGUGGGGAAUCUGCCUUUGAGCGGGGACAACAUUUGGAAGCGAAUGCUAAUACCGCAUAAAAACUUUAAACACAAGUUUUAAGUUUGAAAGAUGCAAUUGCAUCACUCAAAGAUGAUCCCGCGUUGUAUUAGCUAGUUGGUGAGGUAAAGGCUCACCAAGGCGAUGAUACAUAGCCGACCUGAGAGGGUGAUCGGCCACAUUGGGACUGAGACACGGCCCAAACUCCUACGGGAGGCAGCAGUAGGGAAUCUUCGGCAAUGGACGAAAGUCUGACCGAGCAACGCCGCGUGAGUGAAGAAGGUUUUCGGAUCGUAAAACUCUGUUGGUAGAGAAGAACGUUGGUGAGAGUGGAAAGCUCAUCAAGUGACGGUAACUACCCAGAAAGGGACGGCUAACUACGUG
rnacentral:rRNA from 1 species